UACGUAGGUGGCAAGCGUUGUCCGGAUUUACUGGGCGUAAAGAGCGCGCAGGCGGUCGUUCAAGUCGCGUGUGAAAGCCCCCGGCUCAACUGGGGAGGGUCACGCGAUACUGAUCGACUCGAAGGCAGGAGAGGGUAGUGGAAUUCCUGGUGUAGCGGUGAAAUGCGCAGAUAUCAGGAAGAACACCCGUGGCGAAGGCGGCUCUCUGGAACGCAACUGACGCUGAGACGCGAAAGCGUGGGGAGCAAACAGG
rnacentral:rRNA from 1 species